AGAAGAAAAGAGAAGUGCCCUAGAGGAGCAGCGGCUCAUGUAUGAGCGGGAACUGGAGCAACUCCGCCAGCAGCUCUCCCCCGACAGGCAGCCACAGAGUAGCGGCCCUGACCGCCUGGCCUACAGCAGCCAGACAGCGCAGCAGAAGGUGACCCAGUGGGCAGAAGAGAGGAGAGACAUGGAAUCAACCUAAAUGUCCAACGAUAGACUGGAUAAAGAAAACGUGGUACAUGUACACCAUGGAAUACUAUGCAGCCAUGAAAAACAACAAGAUCGUGUCCUUUGCAGGAACAUGGAUGGAACUGGCGGCCAUCAUUCUUAGAAAACAAAUGCAGGAACAGAAAACCAGAUACCGUGUGUUCUCACUGAUAAGUGAGAGCUAAAUCAUGGGAACCGAUGGACAGAAAGAGGGGAACAACAGACACUGGGGCCUGUGGGAGGAGGAGGGAGAGGCUCAGGAAAAAAAAAAAAAAAAAACCUGCCAAGUACUAUGCUUACUACCUGGGUAAUGAAAUAAUCCAUACAUCAAACCCCUUAGUCAUGAGUUCACCUGUAUAACAAACCUGUGCAUGUACCCCUGAACCUAAAAUAAGUCAAAAUAUUUAAAUUUUAAAAAACAAAAGUAUCUGAUAAAGAAGGUGGUUUGCUUUUAACCAUAGUGUUUUUCAGUUAAAUAGUUAAAAAUAUUUUUUUGAUUUCCCUUAAUUCCAGAUUGAUUUUCUUUGGGGCUUAAAUUCUUAAAA
rnacentral:sRNA from 1 species